GACGAACGCUGGCGGCGUGCUUAACACAUGCAAGUCGAACGGAAAGGCCCUGCUUUUGUGGGGUGCUCGAGUGGCGAACGGGUGAGUAACACGUGAGUAACCUGCCCUUGACUUUGGGAUAACUUCAGGAAACUGGGGCUAAUACCGGAUAGGAGCUCCUGCUGCAUGGUGGGGGUUGGAAAGUUUCGGCGGUUGGGGAUGGACUCGCGGCUUAUCAGCUUGUUGGUGGGGUAGUGGCUUACCAAGGCUUUGACGGGUAGCCGGCCUGCGAGGGUGACCGGCCACAUUGGGACUGAGAUACGGCCCAGACUCCUACGGGAGGCAGCAGUGGGGAAUAUUUCACAAUGGGCGGAAGCCUGAUGCAGCAACGCCGCGUGCGGGAUGACGGCCUUCGGGUUGUAAACCGCUUUCGCCUGUGACGAAGCGUGAGUGACGGUAAUGGGUAAAGAAGCACCGGCUAACUACGUG
rnacentral:rRNA from 1 species